UACGAAGGGCGCUAGCGAUGCGCGGAGUGACUGGGCGAAAAGGGCGCGUAGGCGGACUGCACAGUCAGGCGUGAAAUUCCUGGGCUUAACCUGGGGACUGCGUCUGAGACGUGUGAUCUAGAGUGAAGAAGAGGGUCGUGGAAUUUCCAGGGUAGAGGUGAUAUUCGUAGAUAUAGGAAAGCACUCCGGUAUCGAAGGCGGCGACCUGGUCCUUGACUGACGCUGAGGCGCGAAAGCGUGGGGAGCAAAGAGG
rnacentral:rRNA from 1 species